AGCUUUGUGCAGUGAGAGUAUGGUAGCCAAUGAGGUUUAUCCGAGGUAGUUAUUGCUAAUUGAAAACUAAACAGUGGGAGGGAAAUCCUCCUAUUUGUCCACCCUCAGGAUGUUGAGGAGAUUCAAGUUGCAUCAGGAA